rnacentral:rRNA from 1 species
ACACCGGCAGCCCAAGUGGUGGCCAUUUUUAUUGGGCCUAAAGCGUUCGUAGCCGGCCUGAUAAGUCUCUGGUGAAAUCCCACAGCUUAACUGUGGGAAUUGCUGGGGAUCCUAUCAGGCUUGAGGUCGGGAGAGGUUAGCGGUACUCCCAGGGUAGGGGUGAAAUCCUAUAAUCCUGGGAGGACCACCUGUGGCGAAGGCGGCUAACUGGAACGAACCUGACGGUGAGUAACGAAAGCCAGGGGCGCGAACCGGAUUAGAUACCCGGGUAGUCCUGGCCGUAAACGAGGCGGACUUGGUGUUGGGAUGGCUUCGAGCUGCUCCAGUGCCGAAGGGAAGCUGUUAAGUCCGUCGCCUGGGAAGUACGGUCGCAAGACUGAA